rnacentral:rRNA from 1 species
GACGAACGCUGGCGGCGUGCUUAACACAUGCAAGUCGAACGGAAAGGCCCUGCUUUUGUGGGGUGCUCGAGUGGCGAACGGGUGAGUAACACGUGAGUAACCUGCCCUUGACUUUGGGAUAACUUCAGGAAACUGGGGCUAAUACCGGAUAGGAGCUCCUGCUGCAUGGUGGGGGUUGGAAAGUUUCGGCGGGUGGGGAUGGACUCGCGGCUUAUCAGCUUGAUGGUGGGGUAGUGGCUUACCAAGGCUUUGACGGGUAGCCGGCCUGAGAGGGUGACCGGCCACCUUAGGACUGAGAUACGGCCCAGACUCCUACGGUGGACAGCAGUGGGGAAUAUGACACAAUGGUCGGAAGCCUGAUGCAGCGGCGCCGCGUGCGUGAUCUCGGCCUUCGGGUUGUAAACCGCUUUCGCCUGUGACGAGGCGUGAGUGACGGUAAUGUAUAAAGAAGCACCGGCUAACUACGUG